AGAGUUUGAUCCUGGCUCAGAAUGAACGCUGGCGGCGUGCUUAACACAUGCAAGUCGAACGGUAACAGGAGGAAGCUUGCUUCUUUGCUGACGAGUGGCGCACGGGUGAGUAAUAUAUAGGUAAUGUGCCCCUUGGACCGGGAUAGCCACUGGAAACGGUGAUUAAUACUGGAUACUCCUUUCAAUCAAAAGAUUGAUUGGGAAAUGGAUUCCGCCAAGGGAUCGGCCUAUAUCCUAUCAGCUAGUUGGUGAGGUAAGAGCUCACCAAGGCGAUGACGGGUAGCGGGUUUGAGAGGAUGAUCCGCCACACUGGUACUGAGACACGGACCAGACUCCUACGGGAGGCAGCAGUGAGGAAUAUUGCACAAUGGGGGCAACCCUGAUGCAGCAACGCCGCGUGGAGGAUGACGCAUUUCGGUGUGUAAACUCCUUUUAUAUGUCAAGAAAAUGACGGUAGCAUAUGAAUAAGCACCGGCUAACUCCGUGCCAGCAGCCGCGGUAAUACGGAGGGUGCAAGCGUUAUUCGGAAUCACUGGGCGUAAAGGACGCGUAGGCGGGUUUGUAAGUCAGGUGUGAAAUCCUACAGCUUAACUGUAGAACUGCACUUGAAACUACAGACCUAGAGUAUGGGAGGGGCAGAUGGAAUUAGUGGUGUAGGGGUAAAAUCCGUAGAUAUCACUAGGAAUACCGAAAGCGAAGGCGAUCU
rnacentral:rRNA from 1 species